rnacentral:rRNA from 1 species
GCUCAAAUUUUGAAUCUGGCGGUCUGAAUGGGCGUCCGAGUUGUAAUCUAGAGAAGCGUCUUCUAGCGCUGUCCGUGUACAAGUCUCCUGGAAGGGAGCGUCAUAGAGGGUGAGAAUCCCGUCUUUGACACGGGGAAGCAGUGCGUUGUGAUUCGCUCUCGAAGAGUCGAGUUGUUUGGGAAUGCAGCUCAAAUCGGGUGGUAAAUUCCAUCUAAAGCUAAAUACAGGCGAGAGACCGAUAGCGAACAAGUACCGUGAGGGAAAGAUGAAAAGAACUUUGAAAAGAGAGUUAAACAGUACGUGAAAUUGCUGAAAGGGAAACGCUUGAUGUCAGUCGCGUCCUCCAGGGAUCAACCUUGCUUCAUCGCUCGGUGCAUUUCUUGGUAGGACGGGUCAGCAUCAGUUUCGCUUCGUCGUACAACGUCCGAGGGAACGUGGCACCUCUCGGGGUGUGUUAUAGCCCUCAUUCGUAUGUGUCGAA